UGCANGGAAAGUANCUUGCUACUUUUGCCNUANNGCGGCGGACGGGUGAGUAAUGCCUGGGAAAUUGCCCAGUCGAGGGGGAUAACAGUUGGAAACGACUGCUAAUACCGCAUACGCCCUACGGGGGAAAGCAGGGGACCUUCGGGCCUUGCGCGAUUGGAUAUGCCCAGGUGGGAUUAGCUAGUUGGUGAGGUAAUGGCUCACCAAGGCGACGAUCCCUAGCUGGUCUGAGAGGAUGAUCAGCCACACUGGAACUGAGACACGGUCCAGACUCCUACGGGAGGCAGCAGUGGGGAAUAUUGCACAAUGGGGGAAACCCUGAUGCAGCCAUGCCGCGUGUGUGAAGAAGGCCUUCGGGUUGUAAAGCACUUUCAGCGAGGAGGAAAGGUCAGUAGCUAAUAUCUGCUGGCUGUGACGUUACUCGCAGAAGAAGCACCGGCUAACUCCGUGCCAGC
rnacentral:rRNA from 1 species